UUUGCAUUAUUUUUUCUCGUUCGUUCUCAUAUGUAGGGCGUUACCGACGGGUUCAGCACCACGGACAGUUCCCUGACACUCCGGGCACACGCGCACAUACAGACACUCCAUCAGUCACACACGCUGAGACAGGAUUACCUGAAGAUUUACAGCACACAUUUGUUGCCUGCUUCUUUCCCUCUCUUCCUCUCUGUCUCUCUCACCUGUCCUUCACGGGUCUUUUUGCGGUCUGGGCUUGCUGUUCCAUAAGUCACUAGUCAGGAAGCCCUUACCCCAAAAAGUAUCUGUGGGGGGUCCUGACAGCUGAGGAUGGGAUUUCGAGCCUACUUUCUCACAGGACUGAGGGUUUGCUCUUUCUGACACUUGUUUUUGUCUCUACUCUGGACAUUUAAAUGCGUAAUAUAAACAUAAUGUAAUAAACCAUAAUGUUAUGGCAUCUAUAGGAGGAUAAAGGACAAAGAUAAUUUCUUAAGAUGAUUCCCUAACUCCAAAAAUAGCCUGAUUGUUACUAACAGCUGAAUACUGCUCAUUUAAAACAGUUUAAGUUUGUUUGUCAUAUGAAACACUUGUAUGUAUACUUAUGUGAAUGUACAUCUCAAACAUCAAAACUAACUGUUGAGCAAGCCUCUGUAUGUCAUGACAAAAUCAGCCACAUGGUGGUGCUGUUGUCUCUGAUCUGUAGUAAUCAAAACCUUAUCCCUGUCUUAUUUUGAAUAAUAGACUACAUUGUGUCAUGCAGCUUUUUGAAACACAGUACUAUAGUGCUUCUGUGUAUAUGUCUGUGUAAGUGAAUUAAAUAAAAAAAAUCUGUUUCA